GACGUAGGGCGCGAGCGUUGUCCGGAUUUAUUGGGCGUAAAGAGCUCGUAGGCGGCUUGUCGCGUCGUCCGUGAAAACCUGCGGCUCAACUGCAGGCUGGCGGUCGAUACGGGCAGGCUCGAGUUCGGUAGGGGAGGACUGGAAUUCCUGGUGUAGCGGUGAAAUGACGCAGAUAUCAGGAGGAACACCGGUGGCGAAGGCGGGUCUCUGGGCCGAUACUGACGCUGAGGAGCGAAAGCGUGGGGAGCGAACAGG
rnacentral:rRNA from 1 species